rnacentral:misc_RNA from 1 species
GAAGUGCGAUAAGCAAUGCGAAUUGCAGAAUUCCGCGAAUCAUCAGAUCUUUGAACGCAAAUGGCGCCAGAGGGAUAUCCUUCUGGCAUGUCUGUUUCAGUGUCUGAGAGGUUUCACAAUAAUCUUAAUGUGAUUGAAUUGAUGUUAGCUGGUUUAUUCCAGUUUCCCUCUUUUCUCUCAUGAAAGAUGCGCGAGGGGAUCUUUCGGUCCAAUGAAGUGGUCACAUCACUCGAAUGUGAUUUCAUUGGAAGCACCGAAUUAUCAUUAUAAUACAAAAACUCGCGGUAUCAUUUAUUUAUUGUUAGUAAUGGUGGUAUUUAUUAUCAUCAUUAUUACACAACAAUACUCUCUACACCCUGCAUCUGAGAUAGGCAAGAUCACCCGCUGAACUUAA